CUCAGGUCACUGCUUUUUCAUCCAUCCCAUUUUCAUCCAUGUUCAUGGAUGCAUGGUGAGCCACUCUACUUUCUUACUCUCAAUAUUUAAUUACAUGUUCAGAGAUUCAGAAAUCCAGAAGUGAACCUUUUCAAUUCUCCAAGUACAUGUUCAGAGAUUCAUAGUGAUAGUAAAAAUUCAGAAUUUGUUUUAUGAAAAGAGAAAAAAAAAAGAACAGUACUGAACUUCAGGAAUUCAGUACUGAACUUUCAAGUCUAAACAACACUUGUUCAGAAAUUUAGCUCUGAACUUUCAAGUCACAAUAACACAUGUUCAGAAAUACAGAAUGAUGGUAAAAAUUCAGAAAUUCAGCUCCGAGCUUUCAAGUCGCAACAGCACAUGUUCAGAGAUUCAAAGUGAUUUUAAAGAUUUAGAAUUUUGUCUUUUCUUAAAAGAAAAAAAAUCAGUACUGAACUUUCAAGUCUCAACAGCACAUGUUCAGAAAUUCAUAGUGAUGGUAGAAGUUUAGGAAUUCAGCAAAACUUUGAAUUGUUACCUGCCAGCUUUCUCGACCUCCUUGAGCUCAGUGGCUGAUGGGGGGAUGUAGUCGAAAACCCGGUGGUACCGCCUCGAGUGGCGGUAAAGGCUGGUGCAUUUGAUGAUCGACGAGACAUGAACACCGUACUCCUGAAUUUUUUAUUGAGUUUUACCAUCAGCAGGGUUUCCUUCACUUCUACAUUUUGUUCUUUUCAGUUGAAAAAAAUGUCUUUCUAAAUUUGCAUAUGGCUGCUGAACCUCACCAACAGUAAGCUGUGCCCAUGGUUCUCGAAGAAGAACACUUUGCAUUUAGGUAGCAUUCUCUGGAGCCUGUCAGCUUCAGAUUUGCUUGGAAGUAAUCUGUCAGCACAGCUGAAUGCAAACAUACCAAAGUACGUUUUCGAUCAUCAUAACAGAAAUGUAGUUAUCGAGAUCCAACAGAAGCAAAAUACUCAUGUUGGGAUAGCUUGACUGAAACUAUGUCCAAGAACGGUGAAAUUGAAAAGGUAGAAAACCAGAGAUAAAUGGGUUGCUUAAGGUAGCAAGAAACCUGACUAGCAGUAGCACUUCAGCUGAAACUGAUUCUAGACGGCAAUUAGCAUAUGAAGCAGCCUGUUGGAUCAGCUUCAUUUUCCAUCCUAGAGUGUCCUCCGGUAUUUUAUUUAGUAUGUUCUACAGUGAAAUUAUAGAAUUUGAAAGCCACAUUAAUUAAAUAUAAGCAGAAAAUUAAAUCAUUUCUACUGCUCGUCCCCCUUUCUCCUGGCUUGAUAAAAUGGGACAUAGUAGCGGGACGCACAAAAAAGAACGGUACAUACCGAAUGCUUCAGGAAUGAUGAUAUAUUACUUGUUAAUCUGUUUAGUGCUUCUAAAGGAUGUCUUCCACUUUUCAUGCUACUCAAUGCCAUGUCAACUUCAUUGUCUGCCCUCAUGAUCAGGAAGAACAGAAGAAGCGGAUGCAGAGUUAUUAAACAGGAAAUGUGACAACUUAUGGCAAAGUACAGAAAUUAAAUGAUGAAAACUGGAAAGCAGUCCUGUAGUUAUCAGGUUAUUUCAGCCAAUUAAAUGUUUCAUUAUGCUUGGUUAUUUUCGUUCUUACAUAUCUUUUUCUAAAUCUUCUGUGCUGCAACUUAGGAAAUACUUACCAAUAUUGUAGUUCAGAAGAGAUGUAAUUGCAAUCCGUGCACGAUCCGACAACGGGCUGGAAACCGACAGGAGCUGUUUUAUGUCUGAUUUCUCAAAUGAUGUUGCUUUUCCAGGGAAAAAAGGAAAAUAAAGUUAGGUAUCACAAAUUUUAUUCAUGCAACAGCAGAUUUAUUUGGAGAUAUACCUGGAUUAACCAGUACCAACACCAAAUCGAUGCAAGGAUUACGAGCAGCUACUGCAAGUGCUAUGCAUCCUCCAAAAGAAGUCCCCAAAAGGUAGAUGGGCUUAUUAGGUGAAGUGGCAUGCUCUGCUCUCACAACAUCCUCUACCAUUUCAACAAGUUCUGAAAAUGAAAAACAGCUAAAACCAUGCAAUCUGAGAACUUCACAUUAUCUGUUAUUCGCUCUAAAUAAUGAAAUAAGUUUAAAAAUUCAUGUAUGGAUGGAAAUACUUCAAACAGAAAUUAAUUCACAGAUAUGUUGAUACCUUCAAAUGGCGUGCGGUCGUGGAAGGGAAUGUGCAUACAUCUUAGUUCAAAAAUCCUGUGAAUUCAAAGACAACUUGUCUAGUAUUAUUACGGAAGUCGUAAAAAUUGAACCCAUGUAGUAUCAUUGUAAUCUAAAUUGCCUAUAAUCAACUCCUAUAAAAUUGUGAGCUCUCAUCAUAUUCUAAGAGAAGGCCUGAUAAAAAUUGCAGACAAGUGAAAGUAUCUAGAAGUGAUCUCACCUUCCAAGUGCCUUGUGGUGCAUGAAGAGCCCCAUCCCCAUACCAUCUACCCCUGAAAAGUUUCCAAUCCAAAUCAAAUCAAAUAAAGGCUAAGCUGCAGGACAAAACUAUUGAGGAUUCUACAACACAAACAUUCGGUAUAACUGUACCGGG
rnacentral:lncRNA from 1 species